CACGUAGGGAGCAAGCGUUGUCCGGAUUUAUUGGGCGUAAAGAGCUCGUAGGUGGUUCGAUAAGUCGGGUGUGAAAACUCUGGGCUCAACUCAGAGACGCCACUCGAUACUGUCGUGACUGGAGUCUGGUAGGGGAGUGUGGAAUUCCCAGUGUAGCGGUGAAAUGCGCAGAUAUUGGGAGGAACACCAAUGGCGAAGGCAGCACUCUGGGACGGUACUGACGCUGAGACGCGAAAGCGUGGGGAGCAAACAGG
rnacentral:rRNA from 1 species